GAUGCUCCAGUUUGAGCCUGCUGUCUGCUCCUUUCAAGGAUAAGACCACGGCCAGUGAUGCUACACCAGCAAUGUGAUUGCCAAUCUUGCCAUAAAUCAAUGAAGCUUCCUCGCAAUGACAAACCCUCACCACUUAAGCAGAUGAGAAACAGGUACAAAUGAAUGCUGCAGGAUCCUCCCUACUGUGAAGCAUAAAUCUCGAGAGAACCGCGGUAGAAAAGUGAAAUAAAGUACCAGGAAUGCAGGACAGGAGUCGGGAUUUGUUUGGAGCUUCUCUUGUAUACAUGACUGGAAAAACGAUAGCAGCCUUCUUCCUGCCAAGGGUUUGCAAUUAGCGCGGCAGCAGGAAAAGGUAAUUUAAUGGUGCUGGAGCCUCCAUGUCUCUAUUGCAGCGAGGGAAGCAAAGCUGAACACAGCAUUCGAGGUGCAGCCUCACCAGAGCUGAGUACAGAGGGAUGAUCACUUCCCUGCUCCUGCUGGCAACACUAUUUCUUAUACAAGCCAGGAAUCAUCCUUAUGAUAAUCCCUGGGUUAAUGGCUCUGGCCACAUGUGGCACUCCAUGUAUACAACUUGUUCCAGUGAAGGUCCCCAUGUGCCUACCACAUCCCCAGCGCUCCCCACUCAAACAAAAUAUCCUCAACUGUUUUGGUAUUGGGAUGCCAUAAAGCUGCAGCCUCAGCUCCAGCCGGCUCUGCUUCUUGCUGCAUGAAGGUCUCUGUGUCUGGCAUUUGAUGGCCCCAGCCUCAUAAGGAGCCGUAAAAAUGGAAGGGCAACUGCACCUUAAGGUCCUACCCAAACAUGGCAAGGGCAGUUCCAUGGAGGCUGCAGGAGUUGGACUUGCAGCGCUGGAAGUGAGGAUGAUGGGACUGCGCUUCACUUUAAAAACAGAUGUGUCGAUUUAGGCUCUGUGGCAGAGCACAGGAGGAGGGGGAAAUCAGCUCGAUGGCAGCCAGCUGAGAGAGAAUGGAACGGAGAAGAGCCAGGGACUUGUGUGCUCGGAUAAACAAUGGGGUGUGCAGCCACACGGCAAAAAAUAAGCUAUAAAGGGAAUUACCACUAAAUGGAGGUCUUUGGCAAGAGGCUUCACAGAGGGCCGUGUGGCUGGGGGCUGCGGUUUUGGAUCAUGGAUCAGAGGGAGCGUUUAGGAUCCCUCAGCGCACAAUCCGUAAUCGCAACUGCUCUGGAUUAACUCCUGUGCGACCCAGGGCAUGCUGCAAGAGAGCAAAUCUGUCCCUGAUUUCACGUCUCCCUGGAGCAGGGAAUCCCCCGCUGUUCCUGUGGUUGAUAAUUUUCACUGCGCUGCUCAUCCACAUCCAUCUGGCUCCAGCUCUCAACAUGUUGUCUUUGCAGCAGCGCGCCUUUAACCCGCACAUUUGUGAGCCACUUAAAUCAGGUUUUUUCUCUCCCCAGCAUGGGUGCAGGUAGAGCCGCUGAGCUGCCGUCUCAUCCACACUGAUGGAGCUGUGUGGCAUAGGGGAGUGGUGGCACACAGUGGCAGGGGCAUGCGGUGACAGUGGCAUGCCAGCCUGGUCCCAUGGAAGGACAAGGAGCUCCACUCGCUCAUGGCCCUGGGAGAGGAGAGGCAGCAGUAAGUGCUGACUGUCUUGCUGGCUAAUCAGGAUGGAACGCUCCCGAUUAUGUAUUUAACAUGGGUACAGAUGCUGUGAGCAGAGUUUUUAAGCUCAUCAGUUAUCAGAACUCACCCCUGGGCCCUGUCCCUCCCCUGGUCUCCCCCUAACUCUGCAGAGAUAUUGAUUCGGCUGUUUUUCACUAUUAUAUAUUAUAAAUUGACUUCAGCAACCCUUUUCCCUAACUAAUGAGGCCAUUAGCGAUGGGGCGUGGGCAGACACACGGCCGACCCGAGAUCAAUCAGAUGAGGGGAUCAGUUCUGUCUGCUGGGAGAGCAGAUCCACAGCACUGCAAUGCCCAAUGACACCAUGUCCCUUGGUGGCUGGGGACACAGCACUGUGUUAACUUCAGCUGCUGCAUCUCUACGCCCCAUGGGAUGCUGCAGGGUGAGGGCAGGGAGCCCAGAGCCUUGGUGAGAUGGGGCAGGAACUGUAGAGCUCUAUGGGUGAAUGGGUAAUAUGGGAUGGUCAUACAGGAGUGUGCCAUUUCCUGGUGCCAUUUGGCUCCCAGCCUUGGGGUCUGAAUUAGGGUGAAUGACAAGGAGCUGUGAAUGGAGCCAUUUGGCUGUGGCAAGACACACUCCCAACCAUUCCCCAAACCAUUCCCCAGUGGGGAGAAGCCUUCAUCCACACACAGCCCCGACAGCCAUUCCCCAUUGGGCACUGCUUUUAUUGGCUGGCUUGGAGCUCACUUUGUACCUCUCUCCCUCCCAUUUAAUUAGCUGCUUUCAACGCUCAAGCAGAAACCAAAAAGCACUGCCCGAUGUUUUCUACGUAGCCUCCCUGCAUUUUUACCUUUCACCCUCUGGAAAUGUCAGAGCUGCAGGGAAUCCACACUGCUUUGUUGCCUGUACUGUUUUAAUAACUUUAGGGCUCUCAGUCCUCUGGCGGCUGUUCUGCCCACCUCCUCCCAAAGAGGAGAGCACGUGGGGAGAUAAGAGCCCAUCUGAUGUAGAAGAGGCAGGGAACAAGAGAACCACAUCUAUCUUUAACCCUGCACGUUGGGAGGGUCAUUUCAUUUAGGGAGGAAGGUAUUUUCUGCCACCCGAGCAGCAGAGUCCCAUGCACUUUCACACGCUGGCCCAGUAAAUCAUUCUGGCCAGAUAAAAAUGAAAGGGAUGGUUGGUUACUGAGCCAGGCUGCAUUGAAAAACCCGCGGUU